CCUACGGGAGGCAGCAGUGGGGAAUAUUGGUCAAUGGGCGCAAGCCUGAACCAGCCAAGUAGCGUGAAGGAUGACUGCCCUACGGGUUGUAAACUUCUUUUAUAAAGGAAUAAAAUGAGGCACGUGUGCCUUUUGGUAUGUCCUUUAUGAAUAAGUAUCGGCUAACUCCGUGCCAGCAUCCGCGGUAAUACGGAGGACCCGAGCGUUAUCCGGAUUUAUUGGGUUUAAAGGGAGCGUAGAUGGGUUGUUAAGUCAGUUGUGAAAGUUUGCGGCUCAACCGUAAAAUUGCAAUUGAUACUGGCAGUCUUGAGUACAGUUGAGGUAGGCGGAAUUCGUGGUGUAGCGGUGAAAUGCUUAGAUAUCACGAAGAACCCCGAUUGCGAAGGCAGCUUACUAAACUGUGACUGACAUUGAUGCUCGAAAGUGUGGGUAUCAAACAGGAUUAGAUACCCCUGUAGUC
rnacentral:rRNA from 1 species